CUCUAUACUACAGUCAUGGUGACCCUCAAUAUUUACAUCAGUCUACAUUCUUUUGUAGCCUUAUUUAAUCAAAUGUUUAAAAAAAAUGUAAUAAAUUGUUUGAAA